GGCUUUCUUCGCGGCGGAGCUCGACCGCCCAUCUCGUUGAUCUGCCAGUACAUCGACUCCCGCAAGAAGGAGUUCGGGGUCGAGCCGAUCUGCAAGGUGCUCACUGGCGCCGGAGUCAAGAUCGCCCCG
rfam:Actinomyces massiliensis F0489 contig00213, whole genome shotgun sequence.